UACGUAGGUGGCAAGCGUUAUCCGGAUUUAUUGGGCGUAAAGGGAACGCAGGCGGUCUUUUAAGUCUGAUGUGAAAGCCUUCGGCUUAACCGGGGAGGGUCAUUGGAAACUGGGAGACUUGAGUGCAGAAGAGGAGAGUGGAAUUCCAUGUGUAGCGGUGAAAUGCGUAGAUAUAUGGAGGAACACCAGUGGCGAAGGCGGCUCUCUGGUCUGUAACUGACGCUGAGGCUCGAAAGCGUGGGGAGCAAACAGG
rnacentral:rRNA from 1 species